UUUUUGUUUUUUUUUUUUAUUAUUUUAGUCUAAGAUAUUUUAAUUUUUGAGGGUUUUUUGUUUUGUUUUUAAACACAGGCUUGUUUUUUUUUUAACUUUUUAUUGAUUCUUCACCCCAGUCCCACUCAUCUCCCCCUCUCCUCCCCUCCACCCUUGCAAACUCCCCAUCAAAAUAAAACAUAACCAAACAAAAUCAAAACAAAGCAUAGAAAACAUCUCAUCAGGGAAGAAGUGUCACAGUGUCCACAAUGUAUCACUCUGUCCACCAAUCUUCACUUUCAUAUGUCAUUGCAAUGAGUUCAUUGGUCUGGUUCAAGGCCUCUGGCUUCUGUGACACCAUCAGUACUGAAAACUCACUGGGACUCCUCUCAGAUCCUGUUAUUGCCCUGUGUCAUAAAGUGUAUUAUGGAGUUUUUUGCUAUACUGUGCUCCUGGUAGGUCGAGUGCUUCCAGCCACUUGCCCAGGAACUCUUUGAAAAUUAUUAUUUUUGAAAUGCCUUGGCUAACUCAAUGACUGAGCACUCCUAAACCUUCCCCUGCUGCCCCAGGCCCAAUCAGGGAAGUGGCCAGUUGCCACCCACCCAAUUCUCACAGGGCUGGUUGACUUUCUCUCCUGACGCUCCUGCAUCCCAUCCUUCUUCCUGGACUCAUGGGACAAUCUCUCUCUCUCCUCCCCUGUGUCCUAGCCUGAAGAACUCUUAAGCCCCCCCACCCCCAGUCUCCCCUUUGCCCAGUCAUUGGUCGAAGGCAUCUUAGCUGAUCGGAGUUGAUCAAAACCCAGCUGGGCACAGUGUUCUGACAUGCAGAUUCCUGAUUGAAUCAAAGCAGAACCAAUCUCCAACAAUGAAGAACUGCAGUUUUGGAUCAGAAGGACUGUCCCUUUCAGACAUUCCAACCAGUUGAAGAUGAUAUAAAUUUUGGGAUGAUCUAGCUCGGUUACUUUAUGCCUCUCUCUGCAGGAGGCAGGGUUAUCUCUUCCUCUCUCAUGCCCUCAGGUUGGCUCAUCUGCAUCCACACUUCCAGAGCCAGUUCCACUGUGCUGCUCAGUCAAGCAAGGCUCAAGGCCCACUCUCACAGGUGCUGAAGCUGGCAAGGGAUUGGGCCAGCUCUCCCAUUCUCACCACCUCAGGGCUGGAUUGCCUGGACCUUUGCUGUCAGUGCCAACUCCUCUGUGUUGCCCAGGUGAGGCACAAGGCCUGUUCUCAUUGCUCUCCCAACUACCACAGGUGUCAAGGGGUGAGGGGAAGAGCAUUGUCCCUGCACCCACAAGACCUCAUGGCAGAUGAGUGGUGGGGCCAGCUUUCCCUCACUCUUGCCCUCUGGGCUGGCUCACCUGUACCUCCUCCACCAGGGCUAGCUCUACAGUGCUGCCCAGGCAAGGUGCAGGGCCAGCUUACCCACUCUCAUGACCCAGCUGCUUUUUACAUUGGAACUUUGAUAUUAGUACUUUGAUGCUUUUGUAUUAAAUUUUGUGUAUCGUUGAAUUUACUUAAAUUACCAUAAGUAAAAGCAUACCUUUUACAACAUAGCUAGUUUACCCCUUAUCUUUCCCUCCUAUUGUUACUUUUUUUUAUUGCCAGUUUCUUUAUUCCUUUAUAGGAAAAAAUUCUGUUUAUUGAUAAUAUGAGACAGAAAAUACAAAGGCCCGUGGCCUUGAAAGGACGGCAGACAUAGAAAACCUAGAACCAUCUAUGAGGGAAAAAUGUUUUCAUCUUUUCUUGGAACUGAAUUCUGUGAUAUUCUAUGAAUUCUAAUAUAUUUACUCUAAGGAAAACAAACGUACUUGAAAUAGUUUUUGUAUUAACACCAUUGUUAUUUAAAAAAAACCCAACUUAUAACAGAAUUAAGUGGGAUGGGAAUGUAUUGAUUUGUAUAAAUUAGAGUUCCACCUGAAGCUCAAAUAAUGUUACCAACACUGUUUCUAUUCAUUAAAAGAGUUUCAAUCAACUUUACACCUUACCUACUUCUCUACUUUUUCCUACCAACUUCACAUGUUUUCUCUCUUUUUAUAAAAUACUCAUUGAGUCCAUUUAGUGCUGCAUGUAUAGGCAAGGGUGUGAGACCAUUCACAGAAGCAUGCCUGAAUCCCUAAAGAAAACUGAAUUCCCCUUAGCAACCAUUCAUUGCCAGUAUCUCUUCAGACAGGCGCAAGAAUUUAUGAGCCCGUCUCAAUCUGUGUGGGAUUUUGGCUGGCUGGAUCUUGUAGAGGUCUUCUGCGUGAGUCAUAGGCAUUAUAAGUUCAUGUUUACAAUGGUCCUAUCAUGUCUGGCAAAUACUGUUCCAUACAGAUGUGGCUCUUACAAUCUUUCCACUCCCUCUUCUGUGAACCUUGGCAGAAGGUGUGAUAUAGAUGUCCUAUAUAGAGCUGAGCCCUCCACAGUUCCUUAUCCUUUACAUAGUAACUGGUUGUGGGUUUCUGUAUUAAUUGCUAUCUACUCAAAAAAGAAGAUGUCCCUGCAGGCAUUAUAGGCUACCAAAAAACCCAGUGAGCUAUUACAGUGGACAUGACAGGCUGUUACUGUUGCUCUGAUACUCUUUAGAAGUUGAUGGUAAGACCCUAUUGCUGAAGACAGGACAUGCAGAAAACAAGCUAGUAUUAACUUGGAAGCUUUAUCCCCACUGGCUAGCUUUCGAAUGGUGCUGUUAGGUUUCUGUGCAUGCUACCAGGGGAGAAAAGUCUUGUGUGAGCUACAGCUGACCUGGAGGGUCAGUCACUAAGAACUAAUCUGGCAAGAUAGACACACUGAUAGAAUAGUGGAAUGGUGUUAUGGGAGCAACCAACAACUUUCUGCUUGGAUUUAAAACCUGAUCUUUAGGGAUCAGCAGUGCAUCCUUUUAGUGUUUGUAUAGGUCUUGUGUUUUCUACAAAAUUUGUUUGAAGUGGGCUUAAGUGCUUAGGGUUAGAAAUUUUAUAGAUAUUUGAUGAAGAACACUUACUACCCUAAGAGAAAAUAUAUUUCAUAAAGUCUUAAAAAUCCAAGUCUCAGGCUGACGAGAUGGCUCAGUGGUUAAGAGUGCCGACUGCUCUUCCGAAGGUCCCGAGUUCAAAUCCCAGCAACCACAUGGUGGCUCACAACCAUCCGUAACGAAAUCUGAUGCCCUCUUCUGGAAUAUCUGAGGACAGCUACAGUGUCCUUACAUAUAAUAAAUAAAUCUUUUUUAAAAAAAAAAUUCAAGUCUCCAAAUACAAUCAUUUUAUAGUCAUUAAAAACAGUAGACAAAAACUUGUUAAAUAUGUCUCAAUUAUAGCUUAUUGAGUAUAUUGAUUUAAACAAAUAAGAUCUCCACAUUUAUGGCAUUCUGUACCUAGCAAUUUUGCAUUGCCAGGUAAAAAGUUCUUCCAUUUAUGUUUCUUUGCAGAAGAUUGUUCUGACUGUAAGUUAAUGAUUUUUACAAUUUAUUGCUGUCUAAAAAUUUCCCUUGACUUCACAUUUUGUUCUGGAUGUCUUGGUUUCUUUCCUCCACCCACACAAGUGAAGCAAGAGUUGCGAAGUGACACUGAAUUUAAAAACCUUGGCUUUUUUCAAAACAAACUAACUUUUAAAAAUAUGACUGCUUUUUAUUGAAACCAAAAAAGGAAAAGCUUUGGCAAGUGUUCACUAAAUGUGUGAGUAACCUAAUUGAUUUUACUGGAAUGGAUAGGAAGCUUUGCUAUUUGUCCUUGUAGAUACUUGACUCAGUCGUUACAGAAGAGUGAGAGACAAUCUGUGAUGAGACGUUAGAGAUACAAAUGCAUCAGUUUCAUGCAAUUUUAUAGCUGUUUCUUCUCUUCAGAGAGGAAGGGCAAUAUGGUAAUUAGGAUCUUGUUAUUCUGUUAUGAAAAUAAUCAUGCAAACUUAUUUAAACUCAAUGUUUUGAUGAGUUUUAAUAUGUGAAAAUAUUGAGAGAUUCUUGCUGAGGAUUGUGAGGUGUGUGAAAUUUAAAUAAUAUUAAACAUAUUUUAAAAUUUAAAGUUUAAACAUAUCAUUAUAUAGUCUAAAUCUUUAACUCAGGUUACUAACUCAGGUUAAAAUAUAGUAUUUUAGGAAAGAAUUUGAGAGCCAAUAAGG
rnacentral:lncRNA from 1 species